rnacentral:rRNA from 1 species
UACGAAGGGGGGCUAGCGUUGCUCGGAAUCACUGGGCGUAAAGCGCACGUAGGCGGAUUGUUAAGUCAGGGGUGAAAUCCCAGAGCUCAACUCUGGAACUGCCUUUGAUACUGGCGAUCUUGAGUCCGGAAGAGGUGAGUGGAACUCCGAGUGUAGAGGUGAAAUUCGUAGAUAUUCGGAAGAACACCAGUGGCGAAGGCGGCUCACUGGUCCGGUACUGACGCUGAGGUGCGAAAGCGUGGGGGAGCGAACAGG